AGAGAGAGAGAGAGGUUUUGGGUGGAAACAUGCAUAGGACAGAAGUUUAUAAUGCACAAAUGCAUGCUAUUUGGUUAGAGAAACUUGCACAAGAUAGUUACAGUUAGCUGAGGGGUGCAUGGCCUGUCCAGGUUCAAUUAGACUUAACUCCAUAUCUUG